rnacentral:rRNA from 1 species
CUCCUACCUCCCGUGUGUCGUCGUCGGCGACGUCACGAGAGUAGUUGUAUCGUCGGUCAGGACGAACGCUGGCGGCGUGCUUAACACAUGCAAGUCGAACGGGAGUAUUGAAGAAGCUUGCUUAGAGAUACUUUAGUGGCGGACGGGUGAGUAACGCGUGAGGAGCUGUCCUAUGCAGGGGGACAACAGCUGGAAACGGCUGCUAAUACCCCAUAAGCCGAGAGGUAAAAGGAUCAAUCCGGCAGAGGAGGUACUCGCGUCCUAUCAGCUAGUAGGUGAGGUAACGGCUCACCUAGGCGAAGACGGGUAGCCGGCCUGAGAGGGCGAACGGCCACACUGGAACUGAGAUACGGUCCAGACUCCUACGGGAGGCAGCAGUGGGGAAUAUUGGGCAAUGGGGGGAAAAACCCCUGACCCAGCGACGCCGCGUGGGUGAAGAAAUCCUUCGGGAUGUAAAGCCCUGUUGUAUGGGAAGAGCGGAAGACGGUACCAUACGAGGAAGCCCCGGCAAACUACGUGCCAGCCGCCGC